GGAAAUAAAAGAAAGAAGAGACACAGAGAAUGAUCUCUACUCUAUGCUACACACCAUGCUCACAACACAGAUGCCUUGCAAUAACUGCAAAAGAUUUCAGCCUCCCAAGUGCCAUGCCUGACUGGGAAAGCAGAAAUAAUGAGUACUCAGAAACCUUGAUGAGUAUGCAACUCAACAGGAAGAAGGAGCAGCACCUCAUGAGGCUACAUAAUUCCAAGAGAUAUCAAAAAGUAAUCUUCUCUGCUCCCUCGUGAGCUUCACAAGUUAUUUCCUGAGGGAAAGAGAAGAAUUUUAUGAUUUAUCAGCUGCCUUUUUUAAACACUGCACAAGUGAAUUAUUGCAAUCUGCAUGGAGCUCUCAAAAUAACCACUGUGAACCCUAAUCAUCAUUCAAUCACUGAAGAAGAGGACAAGGAAAUAUGACCAGUGUGUAGUGGCAGUUCUUUUCUUGAAGCCAGAAAGGAAAAGAUUCAUAUAAUCAUUAAAUUUUGUCACAAGUCACU